AUGUUUUCUGUAGCUCUGUUACUGCUCUUGGCAGCUGGAUGUGUGAAGUGUGAACAGCUGACACAGCCAGCCUCCAUGUCAGUGAAGCCGGGUCAACAGCUGACCAUCACCUGUCAGGUCUCUUAUUCUGUGGAUAGCGACUACACAGCUUGGAUCAGACAGCCUGCAGGGAAAGGACUGGAGUGGCUCAGUACAGACAGUGAUGUCAAAGAUUCACUAAAACACAACUUCAGUGUUGAAUUAGACUCUUCCAGCAACACAGUGACUUUAAAAGGACAAAAUCUGCAGCCUGAAGACUCUGGUGUAUAUUACUGCGCCAGAGAGCCACAGUAA